ACCCAAUAGAUACCCAGGUAGUCCACGCCGUAAACGAUGGGCACUAGGUGCCGGGGGGAGCGACCCCUUCGGUGCCGCAGCUAAACGCGUUAAAGUGCCCCGCCUGGGGAGUACGGCCGCAAGGCUGAAACUCAAAGGAAUUGACGGGGGCCCGCACAAGCGGUGGAGCAUGUGGUUUAAUUCGAAAGCAACGCGAAGAACCUUACCUAGGUUUGACAUGCAGGGGAAAGCCUCUGGAAACAGGGGCCCUUCUUCGGAACCCCUGCACAGGUGCUGCAUGGCUGUCGUCAGCUCGUGUCGUGAGAUGUUGGGUUAAGUCCCGCAACGAGCGCAACCCUUGCCCCGUGUUACUAACAGGUCAUGCUGAGGACUCUCGGGGGACUGCCGGCGUCAAGCCGGAGGAAGGUGGGGACGACGUCAAGUCAUCAUGGCCCUUACGCCUAGGGCUACACACGUGCUACAAUGGCCGGUACAAAGGGCAGCAAGGUCGCAAGACGGAGCGAA
rnacentral:rRNA from 1 species